ACCCUCUUCUGAAGAGAACAGGUUCCUGGGGGCGGUUGCCCCUUGGAGGGAGGACUGGGGAGCCUCAAGGGGAAGGCGGUUGAUAGCAUCAAUGACAGUGACCUCCCGCGGGUAGGUUCCUGGUAAAAUGACCCAGAUUUCCCAGAAAGUUCUGCUGGUGGCGGGAUACAGCCUUGGAAACGUCUUGCAGGGCGUGGAGCCCCUGCAGGGACCCUGAAGAGGGGGCUCCUGUCCCAGCCUCCUGUGGGCCACCCACACCCCCUACUCUGGUGGAGGAGGGACACCUCCCUGACCGUAGCAAUAGGGCCCUGGGGCAUGUUUGGGGGAGGGGUGAGAGGUCGCCAUUGACUGGGGAGCCAGGCCCUCUCCCGGGGGAGGGGGAGGCAGGCCUGGAUCUGAGGGCAUUGGAGCCCUGGGGCCUGACCGCAGGCAUUUGCCCCUGCCCCAUACAGGUGGAAGGGAGUCCCAGGUGAGGUGUGGACCUGGGGAGCACCGAGCCACUCGGAGCCACCGCUGCCCCAUGGAGGACGCAGGCCCUCCAGAGGGGCCAAUCUGGGAGAGGCUGGGCAGUACGGGGUGCUGAGGCCCUCCCCGACCCCAAGCCCCUGGGAAGCCUCUGGCCCCCUCCCCCUUGGGGCCCGGGGCAGGCACCCUUUCUGACACCAGGGAGGAGAUCUGGCUGUUUGGGGCCGGCGUCUGGCAGGCCCCGCAUGCCUCGGCGUGUACCUGAGCUUAUUUCGCGUGAUCAUCGACUUAGCAUUUGCGGGGGCUCAGACGAGGGCCCGGGGCUGGGGCGGGCGGGGGUCGCUCCCUGCUCACCACCAUGUCUGUAGGCUCUGCUGUGAUGUCUCACAGGCGGGGUCAGAAUGCUUUAGAACCCUGUCCAUUCACACUUCUCUUCUACAAACUGAAACAGUGGUUUUGGUGCACAAACAGCAGCACUAUCCGUGACAGCCCAUAGACCCUUGCACGGACACGCUGAGGUCCUGCCACAUGACGGGAGUGACUCCCAGACAUGCCCCACCGCGUGGACCUGCCCGGGGCAUGUGCCGCUCGGAGACAGGAGCCACACGGCACCGUGUGAUUCUGUUUCUAUGAAACGCCCGGCAGAGGCAGACCCAGGCUCAGAGGGCAGACCUGGGGUCACCGGGGCUGGGGAAGGGUCGGGGUCUCUCUGGGGGUAACGAGAAGGUUCUGGAACGAGGUAGAGGGGGCGGUUGCCCUGCACUGUAAAUGUGCAAAAUGCCACUGAGUUAUUCACUUUAAAAUGAUGAAUUUCAUGUUAUAUGCAUUUUACCUAAAUUGUUUAAAGGGGUAUUUUUAUGAGAAUCCACGAAACCAACAGAUUUACCUCACGUUGCGCACACUCCCGGGCACACCGCGUGCACACGGCGUGCACACGCCGCGGCCGGUGCCUCACGC
rnacentral:lncRNA from 1 species